rnacentral:rRNA from 1 species
GACGAACGCUGGCGGCGUGCCUAAUACAUGCAAGUCGAGCGAAGUUUUUCUGGUGCUUGCACUAGAAAAACUUAGCGGCGAACGGGUGAGUAACACGUGAAGAACCUGCCUCAUAGACUGGGACAACUAUUGGAAACGAUAGCUAAUACCGGAUAACAGCAUUAACUGCAUGGUUGAUGUUUAAAAGUUGGUUUUGCUAACACUAUGAGAUGGCUUUGCGGUGCAUUAGCUAGUUGGUGGGGUAAAGGCCUACCAAGGCGACGAUGCAUAGCCGACCUGAGAGGGUGAUCGGCCACACUGGGACUGAGACACGGCCCAGACUCCUACGGGAGGCAGCAGUAGGGAAUCUUCCGCAAUGGGCGAAAGCCUGACGGAGCAACGCCGCGUGAGUGAAGAAGGAUUUCGGUUCGUAAAGCUCUGUUGUUAGGGAAGAAUGAUUGUGUAGUAACUAUACACAGUAGAGACGGUACCUAACCAGAAAGCCACGGCUAACUACGUG